rnacentral:rRNA from 1 species
UAAGAGGUCCCGCCUGCCCUGUGACUAUUUGUUUAACGGCCGCGGUAUUUUGACCGUGCAAAGGUAGCGCAAUCACUUGUCUUUUAAAUGAAGACCCGUAUGAAUGGCAUAACGAGGGCUUAACUGUCUCCUCUUUCCAGUCAAUGAAGUUGAUCUUCCCGUGCAGAAGCGGGAAUAUAAUCAUAAGACGAGAAGACCCUAUGGAGCUUUAGACACAAAAGCAGCCCACGUUAAACACCCCAAAUAAGGGACUAAACCAAGGGGGCCCUGCCCUAAUGUCUUUGGUUGGGGCGACCGCGGGGAAUUAAAGAACCCCCACGUGGAAUGGGCACACUUUUCCUACAACUAAGAGCUACAGCUCUAGAAAACAGAAUUUCUGACCAACAAGAUCCGGCAAUGCCGAUCAACGGACCGAGUUACCCUAGGGAUAACAGCGCAAUCCUCUUUUAGAGCCCAUAUCGACAAGGGGGUUUACGACCUCGAUGUUGGAUCAGGACAUCCUAAUGGUGCAGCCGCUAUUAAGGGUUCGUU